UCCCUGGUGGUCCAGUGGUUAAAACUUGGUACUUUCAUUGCUGUGGACCCAGGUUCGAUCCCUGGUCUGGGAA
rfam:Ovis aries breed Texel chromosome 1, whole genome shotgun sequence.